AACGAACGUUGGCGGCGUGGAUUAGGCAUGCAAGUCGAACGAGCUUCAGGUAGCAAUACCGGGAGCAAGUGGCGAAAGGGGCAGUAAUGCAUGGGUAAGUUUACCCCGGGGACGUGGAUAGCUAUCCUAACGGGUAGGUAAUACACGGCGAUUCGGCGGAGGGGGCAUCUCCUUGCCGGGAAAUGAAUUUCGCCUCGGGAGAAGCUCAUGUCGUAUUAGGUAGUUGGGCGGGGUAAUGGCCCACCAAGCCUCAGAUGCGUAGCGGGUGUGAGAGCACCGACCCGCGCCACUGGCACUGAGACACUGGCCAGACACCGUACGGGUGGCUGCAGUCGAGGAUCUUCGGCAAUGAGCGCAAGCUUGACCGAGCGACGCCGCGUGUGCGACGAAGG
rnacentral:rRNA from 1 species